CCUUCUUCCUCCCGCUUUCUCCGGAGUUACUGGGCGUAAAGCGCGGGCAGGCGGUUCUUCAAGUCUGAUGUGAAAUCUCCUCGCUCAACGGGGAGCAGCCAUUGGAAACUAGAGAACUGGAGUCUGACAGAGGUAGGCGGAAUUCCGGGUGGAGUGGUGAAAUGCGUAGAGAUCCGGAGGAACACCAGAGGCGAAGGCGGCCUACUGGGUCAGUACUGACGCUGAGCCGCGAAAGCCAGGGGAGCGAACGGGA
rnacentral:rRNA from 1 species